UGCCCGUGGAAGCCAGUGUGAAGGUUAGGGC
rnacentral:piRNA from 1 species